rnacentral:rRNA from 1 species
GAUGAACGCUGGCGGCGUGCCUAAUAUAUGCAAGUCGAGCGAACAGAUGAGGAGCUUGCUCCUCUGACGUUAGCGGCGGACGGGUGAGUAACACGUGGAUAACCUACCUAUAAGACUGGGAUAACUUCGGGAAACCGGAGCUAAUACCGGAUAAUAUAUUGAACCGCAUGGUUCAAUAGUGAAAGACGGUUUUGCUGUCACUUAUAGAUGGAUCCGCGCCGCAUUAGCUAGUUGGUAAGGUAACGGCUUACCAAGGCAACGAUGCGUAGCCGACCUGAGAGGGUGAUCGGCCACACUGGAACUGAGACACGGUCCAGACUCCUACGGGAGGCAGCAGUAGGGAAUCUUCCGCAAAGGGCGAAAGCCUGACGGAGCAACGCCGCGUGAGUGAUGAAGGUCUUCGGAUCGUAAAACUCUGUUAUUAGGGAAGAACAAAUGUGUAAGUAACUAUGCACGUCUUGACGGUACCUAAUCAGAAAGCCACGGCUAACUACGUG